GGGCACGGGCGCAACCGGGCCGUAGACGCCGCGUGAGGGAUGAACGUCUGCGCUAUUGUAAACCUCUUUCAGUAGGGAAGAAGCGAAGUGACGGUACCUAAAGAAGAAGCACCGGCUAACUAUGUGCCAGCAGCCGCGGUAAUACAUAGGGUGCAAGCGUUGUCCGGAAUUAUUGGGCGUAAAGAGCUCGUAGGUCGUUAAUCACGUCGGAUGUGAAAAUCUGAGGCUCAACCUCAGACCUGCAUUCGAUACGGGUUAACUAGAGUGUGGUAGGGGAGACUGGAAUUCCUGUUGUAGCGGUGGAAUGCGCAGAUAUCAGGAGGAACACCUAUGGCGAAGGCAGGUCUCUGGGCCAUUACUGACACUGAGGAGCGAAAGUUCGGGGAGCGAACAGGAUUAGAUACCCUGAUAGUCCGAACCGUAAACGGUGGACGCUAGUUGUGGGAACCUUCCACGGUUUCCGCGACGCAGAUAACGCAUUAAGCGUCCCGCCUGGGGAGUACGAUCGCAAGAUUAAAACUCAAAGGAAUUGACGGGGCCCCGCAACAAAGCAGCGGAGCAUGCGGCUUAAUUCGAACGCACGCGAAGAACCUUACCAAGGCUUGACAUAUAGAGAAAAGUGGCAGAGAUGUCACGUCCGCAAGGGCUCUCUACAGGUGGUCGCUGUUGUCGUAGCUCAUGUCGGAGCUGUUGGUUAGUCCGCAAGA
rnacentral:rRNA from 1 species